rnacentral:lncRNA from 1 species
GGCUACCUGCCUCCCCCUGAACAUUAUUUACCAUUAAUUUCUAUUGUUGACUCCGAUGCUUCUCACAGUUGUGUCCAGUUGGCUGGAUGUCCUUUGGGUGGUGGACCAUUCUUGAUAAACACGGGAAACCCAGCAGCGUUGCAGUUCUUGACAUAUUCAAACCGGUGCGCCUGGCACCUACUACCAUACCCUGUUCAAAGGCACUUAUAUCUUUUGCCCGUUCACUCUCUGAAUGACACACAUACACAAUCCAUGUCUCAAUUGUCUCCAGGCUUAAAAAUCCUUCUUUAACCCGUCUCCUUCCCUUCAUCUGCCCUGAUUUUAAGUGGAUUUAACAAGUGUCAUCAAUAAGGGAUCAUAGCUUUCACCUGGAUUCAACUGGUCAGUCUGUCCUGGAAUGAGCAGGUGUUCUUAAUGUUUUGUCCAGUCAGACCCAGUUAACCAGCAGACCUAUCUAGUAGCAGCAAUACAAACUAUCCUUCAUUCAUUUCGUCACAUUAUAUUUUAGUAGUAUUAUUACAAACUAUCCUUCUCUUAAAUAAAGGUUUAAUUAUUUUUUUUAAUUUUUUUUACAUAAAUGUCUCUUCAGUAUCUGUAAGCACCUUCUAGUUAAUUUCACAGUACUGUUCCUUAAUGAACAGAAUAUGUGGGUUGUUUUUUCUGUUAGAUGUCCAUUGAUAUAAAGUUCUAAAUAAUCUAUUCUGAUGAUAGAUUCCCUAAAGUCUCGGAUCUCUAGGAGAGGAGCUCCUGUAGAAUGGGUGUAGUAGUGAGAGAUAUUCUGAGGUAGAAUCUUUACCCAUUAUGCCAUCAUUGACUUGAAUGGGGAGGACUGUUCUAUAGAUUAUAUUUCUAUGGUUUCACAAUCUACUAAAAUGAAAGCCAGUAACUGGAGUGGCUGUAGUACAGUUGUUACUGGAACAUUUGGGGAUACAAGGAUCACCUCAAGAUAGAUAUAUAUAUAUUUAUAGAUACUAUAGAUAGAUGAGAGAGAGAUAUCGAGAUAGAUACUGAACAAAGAUACUGAACAAAAAUAUAAACGCAACAAGUUCAUUGAUUUUAUUAAGUUGCAGUUCACAUGUGGAAAUCAGUCAUUUGAAAUAAAUGCAUUAGGCCCAAAUCAAAUUUUACAAACACAUAUUUAGCAGAUGUAGCUCUAACAAUACACGUAAAAAAAAAAUGGAAUUAAGAAAUAUAUAAAUAUUAGAUCGAGCAAUGUCGGAGUGACAUUGACUAAAAUCUAUGGAUUUCACAUGACUGGGAAUACAGAUAAUGCAUCUGUUGGUCACAGACACCUUAAAAACAAAGAGUCUCACAAUGGGCCUCAGGAUCUCGUCACGGUAUUUUUUUGUACAUUCAAAUUGCCAUUGUGUUUGUUGUCCGUAGCUUAUGUCUGCCCCAUAUCAUAACCCCACCGCCACCAUGGGACCCAUACCAUAACCCCACCUCCACCAUGGGGCCCAUACCAUAACCCCACCUCCACCAUGGGGCCCAUACCAUAACCCCACCUCCACCAUGGGGCCCAUACCAUAACCCCACCUCCACCAUGGGGCCCAUACCAUAACCUCACCUCCACCAUGGG